rnacentral:rRNA from 1 species
GCCAGUGGUGAACUCCACAUACGCAUCCUUUGCUGAGGAUACGGUUAACGGAGCGAAAGCGACGUUCAACCUCAAAAGAAGCAGAGGGGGCUUAGUGGUGGGGUGACUGCGUACCUUUUGUAUAAUGGGUCAGCGACUUAUAUUCUGUAGCAAGGUUAACCGAAUAGGGGAGCCGGAGGGAAACCGAGUCUUAACCGGGCGUUAAGUUGCAGGGUAUAGACCCGAAACCCGGUGAUCUAGCCAUGGGCAGGUUGAAGGUUGGGUAACACUAACUGGAGGACCGAACCGACUAAUGUUGAAAAAUUAGCGGAUGACCUGUGGCUGGGGGUGAAAGGCCAAUCAAACCGGGAGAUAGCUGGUUCUCCCCGAAAGCUAUUUAGGUAGCGCCUCGUGAAUUCAUCUCCGGGGGUAGAGCACUGUUUCGGCUAGGGGGUCAUCCCGACUUACCAACCCGAUGCAAACUGCGAAUACCGGAGAAUGUUAUCACGGGAGACACACGGCGGGUGCUAACGUCCGUCGUGAAGAGGGAAACAACCCAGACCGCCAGCUAAGGUCCCAAAGUCAUGGUUAAGUGGGAAACGAUGUGGGAAGGCCCAGACAGCCAGGAUGUUGGCUUAGAAGCAGCCAUCAUUUAAAGAAAGCGUAAUAGCUCACUGGUCGAGUCGGCCUGCGCGGAAGAUGUAACGGGGCUAAACCAUGCACCGAAGCUGCGGCAGCGACACUAUGUGUUGUUGGGUAGGGGAGCGUUCUGUAAGCCUGCGAAGGUGUCUCGUGAGGGAUGCUGGAGGUAUCAGAAGUGCGAAUGCUGACAUAAGUAACGAUAAUGCGGGUGAAAAACCCGCACGCCGGAAGACCAAGGGUUCCUGUCCAACGUUAAUCGGGGCAGGGUGAGUCGACCCCUAAGGCGAGGCCGAAAGGCGUAGUCGAUGGGAAACAGGUUAAUAUUCC